CCCGGAGGUAGCAGGACCCAGGGUUCUUUGGAAGCCCGCGGGCAGAGCCCCAGAGCUCUCACGUUCGGCACCUCGUCCCCCUUUCGCCGUGGGCUCUGUCUUGCACUGAAGCCCGAAGUACUCUGGCCUUUAGGCGGCUGAUUUAGAGGCCGAAGGCGUGGCCACGCGACAGAUCCUGCACCUGUCGAGACUGGGGCACGUUCUCAAAACUUCGGAAUCUUCUUCAGUGGAAAGUUUCCUAGGGCGCGAUUUCUGAGUAGGACCACUCCUUCCGAAGGGAUGGAUACCCAGAGACGUUGGCUUCCUAAAGAGUUUGCAUUCACUCUGCCAAGUGUGCGCUCCUGGAAAGCCUGCAAAUUCUUUCUCAAAAUGAUAUCUCCCCCGCCCCCUUAAGUGUCCCGAAUCCCUGGUGCUUUCAGGAAGAACACGGGUGGAUGGGGUUGUUACCCUCGAAUCAGGAUCCCAGCGCAAGCGAUUGGAACUCGAGGACCCUCUGCGCUCCACAGUACCAGUGGCCGUUGAGCGCGCGGCAGUCCAACCGUCAGCAUGAAAAACCGUGAGGCCCCAACGUCCACCAGGAAAGGAGGAUUCAUGUCUAGUUUUUUUUCUGGCGUUAGGGUCACACGGCCCAAGCUUCGGUUUACUCACGGAAACGUUACCGAUUUCUCUUAAAGCGCAGCGAUCCUGAAGUGCCUACGGGAGGCUAAACACUACGCGUCUGCAGCCUGAACCAGGCGCAUCCGCGAGGGUGGUCCCCGCGAGUCGCCGUGUGAGGGAGCUGCUGAUAAACUGGCCACGCGAUGUCCCGACCCUGUGCUGAGUUCCGUGCUAAUGCAUUAUGUAAAUGCUUAAAUUCCGCGGACAAAGGCCACAAUGGAGAGCCUCAGUUGGCUCCACAAAGCCGCCUAGCUCGGGGCUAAUAGGUUUAAUCAGAGAGAAGAUUGUCGGCUUGCCUGGGGGAGGGCGUUCACUGCGGAUGAUGGAUGAAGGGACAUUCAUUUUACCUGGAAGAUGAAGGGGGCUUUGGAGACCAGAUGGGAAGGAGACCGGCUUCCCAUUAUCCUCCUCCGAGGCCACCUCUUACCCACCCCUCUCCGUCUGCUUUUAGUGAUCUGUCUCUUGGCAGUGACUUUUGUUCGUUACACAAACCACUGCGAAUCCCAUUAUGGUGUCAGGAAAAAAAGAAGAAACUUGUACAAACGAAUCAAAGGAAGAAGGCACACAGAAAUACAACCAGGAUUGGGAUGCCGUCCUCUCCCUAAUGGAACAUAGAACCUGGUGGAUGGAAGAGAAGAAAAAAGCAUAUGCUCAAGAUUCUGAAGAAGUAAGCUUUCAAACUUACCAGUUGGGAAUGACAAGUAGUCUGCGGAGGAGCCUCCAGGUUUGAGUGAACAGGGAAAUUCAUGGAAGUUACUAGUAUUUAAUAGAUUGAUAGAAUAACAAUAGGUCAUUUGCUUCUGUUGUGAACCUUAAUGAAAAAUGAUUUUUUUUAAAUUUAAUUCUUUUUGGAGCACUUAUCUAUAGAAAAUUUUACAUAUAGGUUGCUAGGACCUUGCUCUUUCCCCUCCCCCAUCUUAUAAUUUGUUAAGUAACAACAGAUCCUCCCUUAGUGAUGUCAAUAUUUAGUGUUGAAUUAUGAAUAUGGUGAGGAGCUAGUUAGGGAAUCAAAUUAAUAAUAGUAGCGAAAUCAUGCUUUCAGAGUAAUUCAUUAAAUUUUUCAGUCAUAUUUUUAUUUUAUGAAAUCUUGUAUUUACUAUAGAAUAGAAAAAUAUUUACAGCUAACUAAAAGUGGCCUAAUGUUCCCUGUACUAAAAUGCAAAAAUAACUGUAUAUAUAAAACUCAAACUUAAUUCAAGUUCCAAGUGUUAAUCACUGUACUAUUCACUUUUAAAAACUCUUUCCUACUGAGAACACAUUGAUUUAUUUUUUGUAUCUCCAAAUUUAGUAUGUAAAUCCUAUGAAUGUGUUAAAAGUUAUCUGGAAAAGCUAAAAGCGACACUAUUAUCUAAUCUCCAGGCUUAUUCAGAAUAUUAGCCAAUUGUUCAAGUAAUGUCCUUUAUAGCAAAAGAAAAUUCCAGAUCAUGAAUUGCAAUCAGUUGUUUAUGUAUUGUUGAUCUUUUUAAAUCUAGAACAAUUCUUUAGUCUCUUUUUUCAUGACAUUGACAUUUAGAGGAAUAUGGCCCUUCUGUUUUGUUUGUCCAUCCAAUGUUUCCUCAUGAUUAGAUCCAGAUUGUGCAAUUUGGGGGCAAGAAAUGGAAAUUAUGCAUUUCCCUUUCAACACACCAUAUUAGUAACCACAUGAUGUUGAUUUGAUAGUGAUAUCUGGAAUCUUAGGAGAUCACCAGCCAGGUCCUGCUGAUAAACAUUGACUACCAUUACUCAAGCUGCGGUUUGAGUUUCUUUUGUUGAAUAUACAGUUCUAGUUUUUGUCUCAUCUUUGCUUCUACAUACUAUUGAAUAAGAUAUCCAGUUAUAGACUUACCUCUCCUUCCUAGAACCAAUUGCUGCUGCCUCCCCAAAUAACCUAACACCUGCCCAAAUUCUACAAGUCCUUUUAACUAUCUUUUACUGGGACACCCCAUUGUUUAUUGUGGUGUUUAUUCCUCCUCACUGAAAAAUUUCAUAAACUUGGCUUGUUCAAUUACAUAUGUGUUCUUGAGGGACUUGGGCUGCAAGGUAUUGACACUACCCAUGGUGAUGUUGACCAAUUAGUUAACUAAUUGACCUGUCCCAGGUUUGUCCACUGAAAAAUUAUUAUUUUCCUUUUGUAAUGAAUAUGCAUCCUGUAGGGAAACACUUGGACAAUGUAUAUAUGCUGAUACUCCUCCAAUUUUCUACCAUUGGUUUUAGCUCCCAUGGAUGAUUCUUGCCUGAUCCAGCUAUUACUAUGAUAGUUACCAUAUGGCAAUUUGGCUGUUCUCAGCAUUCUUUCUAUAGCAGUGAAUUAUAUCUCUAUCACCAGGAAAAGCUUUCCAUUCUCCUCUGCUUCUUAACAUUGUUGUGGAUUUCACCAUAUUCUUACUUUAUCCAGUGGAUGGCAAUCCAGUGACAUUAUAUUUAUCUUAUGAUCAAAUUGUUACAAAUUUGUACCAAGGGAGCUCCUUCAAGCUGGCCCAGGUGUUGUUUUGAUUUUUCAUCAUUGUUUUUUUGAGGACUCUUGCUGACACAAGAUAUUGCAGACUCAUCUUUUUCUUUCUCAGUUCCAAUUCUACCAGCAACCAUUUCUUCAUGCAGUCCUUUUUCCUUUUAGUGUAGGAUUAUAUUUAGAAAUAAAAAUCUAGGUACAUUGUAUGUACAGUAUUACCAGGUGCCAUUGCUUCUAGGCCUUCUCAGCAGACAGAGGAGGAAGUAGCUAUUGGUAAAUAUAUACACACACAUACAUAAUAAUAUGUUCAUUAUGUUUUGAUGAAUAUGUUGUAUUAAUCAUAAACAUAACUUAUUUACAAAAACUACAGGAUGCAUGAUUUUUUCCCCUCAAACUUUUUAUCUACAAGGAGUCUUUGAUUUUAUUCCCUACUGUUCAAUUCUACUUAGUACCAAAUAUGCUUAUUAUUACUCAAAUGAAUAAAGAGCAAUUUAAGAGCAAUUCCUAAAUAUUUUAAGCAUAAAUUAAUUUUAAAUAAGAGAACUGCCCUACGUUACAAUUUCCUAUAUAAACUGAUGAUUCUUCAUAAAAACUUGGCCCAGAUUUUUCUUUUAUAUAUAUAACCAGUUGGAGGUAGGCUCAAUUAGGAGACUGAAAGUUGUAUGAGAGGUAUU